CCCUUAGAUGUCCGGGGCCGCACGCGCGCUACACUGAAGGAAUCAGCGUGGCUUUCUCCCUGACCCGAAAGGGUUGGGAAACCCGUUGAAUCUCCUUCGUGAUAGGGAUUGGGGCUUGAAAUUGUUCCCCAUGAACGAGGAAUUCCCAGUAAGCGCGAGUCAUAAGCUCGCGUUGAUUACGUCCCUGCCCUUUGUACACACCGCCCGUCGCUCCUACCGAUUGAGUGAGCCGAUGAAACUGCCGGAUGUGGACUAUUCAUAGUCUGCAGAAGAUAUUUGAAUCGUAGCGCUUAGAGGAAGGAGAAGUCGUAACA
rnacentral:rRNA from 1 species